AACGGCGGCCGUAACUAUAACGGUCCUAAGGUAGCGAAAUUCCUUGUCAGGUAAGUUCUGACCCGCACGAAAGGUGUAACGAUUUGGGCGCUGUCUCGGCAGCAGACUCGGUGAAAUCUUAGUACCUGUGAAAAUGCAGGUUACCCGCAACUAGACGGAAAGACCCCAUGGAGCUUUACUGCAGCCUGAUAUUGAAUUCUGGUCAUACAUGUACAGGAUAGGUGGGAGACAAAGAGACGUGCACGCCAGUGUACGAGGAGUCGACGUUGGGAUACCACUCUUGUGUGACCGGGGUUCUAACCUGGUAUCGAGAACAGGUACGGGGAGAGUGUCAGGUGGGCAGUUUGACUGGGGCGGUCGCCUCCCAAAGAGUAACGGAGGCGCCCAAAGGUACGCUCAGAUUGGAUGGAAACCAAUCGUCGAGUGCAAUUGCAGAAGCGUGCUUGACUGUGAGACAGACAAGUCGAACAGGGACGAAAGUCGGGAAUAGUGAUCCGGCGGUGCCGAAUGGAAGGGCCGUCGCUCAACGGAUAAAAGCUACCCUGGGGAUAACAGGCUGAUCUCCCCCAAGAGUCCACAUCGACGGGGAGGUUUGGCACCUCGAUGUCGGCUCAUCGCAUCCUGGGGCUGAAGUAGGUCCCAAGGGUUGGGCUGUUCGCCCAUUAAAGCGGUACGCGAGCUGGGUUCAGAACGUCGUGAGACAGUUCGGUCCCUAUCUGUUGUGGGCGAAGGAGAUCUGCGGAGAGCUGUCCUCAGUACGAGAGGACCGGGAUGGACCUACCGCUGGUGCACCGGUUGUUCCGCCAGGGGCAUAGCCGGGUAGCUAAGUAGGGAAAGGAUAAGCGCUGAAAGCAUCUAAGCACGAAGCCUACUCCAAGAUGAGAUCUCCCAUUCGCAAGAAGUAAGACCCCUUAAAGACGAUAAGGUAGAUAGGCCAGGGAUGGAAGUGCAGUGAUGUACGGAGUUGACUGGUACUAAUCGGUCGAGGACUUAAUCAG
rnacentral:rRNA from 1 species